rnacentral:lncRNA from 1 species
AAUUAGGAGGUUUGUGUUGUGUUCUGCUGCUUUUUAUCUGUUAGAGGCUGGUUCUGUUGAGUGACAGCAUGGGGAGCAACUUCAGCAUGCAGACCUGCUGUGGGAGUUGUAAGAAGCAGGAGGAAGCAUAUGAAGAGACUAGUGAGACCAAGCCAAUUCUGCACACCUCAGGGGGCACACCAAUGCACACUGAUACGCAGCCUCCCCCACCAGCCCUGGAAGCCUCUGAAAGAAUCUCUGAAGAAGCUCAAAGAGGCUGAAGUCCUGGAUCAGCAAGAAGGAGAGAAAGCAUGUAAUGCAGAAGAGAAAAUAAAACCUACUCCUUAUGAUGAGGCCCAGCUGGCUAUGCACACAGCUCAGGAUCUGAAGCUUGUUGCAGAUAUAGGACAGCCUGCUGAACAGGCUGGGGCUGGCAGUGAGGAUGACCAACAUGCUGAAAUAACUCCCCAAGAAAUAAAUAAUCUCGAGCUCAUGGAAAGCACAUGGGAAACUGCAGCUGCUCAAGACUUUGAGAUAGAGCCUCCCAUGGAGACUGGUGAGAGUUUCACAGGAUGGAACUUGCCACUCUGUGUUGUGCAGAAGAUGGCAAAAGAGGCUGAGACCGACCUUCCUGCUGGGCACACAGAGCAGGCAGACAGGGCUGGCCUUGCUGAAGGAAGUACUGAACUCACUGAGAGUGUCCAGAUCACACCUCUUGCAAAGGCUGCCUCUCUAAUGAAUGUGCAGGCUGCAGAGGAGACUGAGAAUGCAGUGGAUCCUUCAGAAGCCAUAGUGAAUGCUGUGGCUGAGAUGCACUCUGUUUCUGCAGUGCCUCAGGAAACCCUGUAUCCAGGAGGGCAGACUCCAGAGCCAGCCAACCAGCUGCUUGACUUCUUACAGCAAGAGGCUCAGUCUGGUGUGCCAACUGCACGAGAGGUGCAGAGCCAAAGCUGUGCAGAACCUGCUGAACUCGGUGAGGUUUUAAGUGAUGAAGACCAGGAAGUCCUUUGUGAUACAGCGGACAGUGAGGAGAGCAGGGAAUGUGAUCUGGAAACUCCAGCAGAUGAGGCAGAGCCACAGGAGAGCGUUGUGCAACAAAUGCUGCAGCUUCCAGCAGAACUGGCUUGUGCUCAGAUGCCUGCAGAGGAAGAAGCUGAGUUUCUCAGUGUGGUACCCUUGCUGUAUGAAGUGCCUGGGAGUGGAGGAGAUGGACAGGUUGAAAAUGCUGAAGCUUGAGAGAAGUGAGGAUGGAUGGGUUGGUAUUCAGUGCCUUUGGGAAUUUCAGCCCAAAAAAAAAGCAAUUAUCUCAGCCUUUUGAACCCAAUGUUUGUUUUUCUUUUUCAAGUGUGUCCUGGACUUCAGAAAGUGACUUUGCUAAAGAGAUGUGUGAGGUGUGCAAUAGAUGUUUCUAGAAAUUCUCCUGGGUUAUAGCUUGGUUGUACUUCUGUUUAGUAGCUGAUUUGCAGGAGAUCUUGCUUUACUGGGAGAGGAGUGAUUCACUUCAAUAGUGGUUUCACUGAAGGAAUGCUGAGCACUGCAUCCCCCAGUGUGGUACAGUGAUAGGAGGUUCCAGUGCAAAGUCUUACAAGUCUGUGGACAGGACAGACAAAAGCUCCUCUAACCCAGCACAGUCAGAUGCCUUCUGUGGCUCACAGACACCGAAUCAAACCUUCCAACCACCUCCUUUUCUACUUACACAUUUGGUGACUGUUACUUUGGAAGCAUUGAACGUGCUUUCAUGAGUCAAUGAAAUAAUACUCUGGUUUGUUCUUUGUAUUUCUGGUGAUAGCUGAUACAAUCUGUACUCUGUGCUCAUACAAUCUGUACUCUGUGCAGAACUUAAAGAAACAAAUGUAGUCUUGAUCAGAAUGCAUAAGUCAGUGUAUUGCGGUUUAAAUCUACUGACUUUUAAUGUUCAUGACUUUAUGACACCAAUAAAAUAUUUUAAGAUC